UACAGAGGUGGCAAGCGUUGUUCGGAAUUACUGGGCGUAAAGGGCGCGUAGGCGGCCUUCUAAGUCAGACGUGAAAUCCCCCGGCUUAACCUGGGAACUGCGUCUGAUACUGGAGGGCUUGAGUGCGGGAGAGGGAUGCAGAAUUCCAGGUGUAGCGGUGAAAUGCGUAGAUAUCUGGAGGAAUACCGGUGGCGAAGGCGGCAUCCUGGACCGACAUUGACGCUGAGGAGCGAAAGCUAGGGGAGCAAACGGG
rnacentral:rRNA from 1 species